AUCCGUUAUCGGUAGAAUCUGAAAAUAAAAAUUCGAAGAAAAAAAUUGUAAAUGAGAACGUUCCAUUGGCAGCGCCGCGGUGUGGAAGGGGGCGAAACGAUGGUUGAUUGAAAAUUGAUGGCUGAUGGUAUUUGAGGUUAAUGGGUCGGAUAGCCGUAGCUCACUAGUGGUGAGAAAAGAGGUAUCAGGGAGCGAUGUUCAUCCCAUUGAACCCUACACUCUACACCGCCUGUAUUGCUUCCGGCAUUCCACAAAUUGGCGGGCACAUAAAUCUGCUGCCUUUGCCCAUCCCAUGCCACCCUUGCCCGGUGUUUGGCAUCUCAUCGUCCCAUCGAUAUCGUAAAUAAAUGAUAUCGAUUCGUUUUCGAUCGUUAAAUACACAAACAAUAUUUGCUGGUGCGAAUUUGCGCCUGCAGGAGGAUCUGCUUGCUGGACAGGAGCGACUAGGGCAGCACCGGUCAUCAGAGGCUGUCUGAUGCUCGGCUGUACACUGUCCACUGUGCGCGCGUAGCUGGAGCGUUGCGGCUCACCGGCAAAAUGCCCAUGGCAGCCUCAUAACAAUCGAAACUCAUCAACCCGAUCGAAGGCUAUCGAGACAACUUUUACCCUUUUGCCCAAUGGUGUUGCAAUUGCUAAGGGGCGCUCUGAAAUGUAUAAACAAAUAGCCAUCAUCCCAUAUUACAGUCCCAUGUCCCAGCGACGU